CAGCCGCCGCGGUAAUACGUAGGGGGCGAGCGUUACCCGGAUUCACUGGGCGUAAAGGGGGCGCAGGCGAUCCAGUAUGUCGGGUGUGAAAUCCCACAGCUCAACUGUGGAAUUGCGCCCGAAACUACUGGGUUUGGGGCUGGUAGAGGGAGACGGAACUGCUGGUGUAGGGGUGAAAUCCGUAGAUAUCAGCAGGAACGCCGGUGGGGAAGCCGGUCUCCUGGGCCAAGCCCGACGCUGAGGCCCGAAAGCUAGGGGAGCAAACCGGAUUAGAUACCCGGGUAGUCCUAGCCGUAAACGAUGCCCACUAGGUGUGGGGGAGUCAUUCCUCCGUGCUGUAGCUAACGCGUUAAGUGGGCCGCCUGGGGAGUACGCCCGCAAGGGUGAAACUUAAAGGAAUUGGCGGG
rnacentral:rRNA from 1 species